UAUUGUGCUUGAAUUUUGUGCCAAAUUUCAAGCUGAAGUAAAUUCAUUUACUAUAGCAAGUAAAUAGAAAUCAGUGGUAGAAAUGUAAAGAAACGAGAAAAAAGAGAGGAAGUAGAUGACCUAAUCUACUGGCACCCUGGCCUAUUUAGCAAAAAUCGGCCCAGCUAGCCCCACACGCCCUCCUCUUCUCGCUACAGGAGGCUGGGAUGGCCGUGGCGGCCAUCCGCCGGCCGUGGCCACUUGCGUGGCGGCCAUCCGACCCCUCCCGGCGUCCUACUCGACCUACAAGUCCUCCCCGAAGCCCCCGUGACGAACCCUAGCGCCCCAAGUGCAUUCCCCCUUUUCCCCUUGCUAGAUCCGCCCACUCCCGAUAGCCUUCGCCGCUCACCGCCGUCGAUCCCGCGCUCUCCGACGACCCCGAGCCCCCGCGAGAUGUCACGGAGCUUAGCCGCCCUCCGCUGCGUCGCCUGAGCCGUGCCACUGGAGACGACGGGCUCGGCAUCGAGCGGAUCGAGCUCGUCUCCGUCUUCUGCGUCGCCGGUGACCGCCGCCGUCUUCGUCAUCCCCUGCUGCUACAAAGCUGUCGAGGGUCUUUCUUGGCCGCUCGGUGAGCUCCUCUCUCCCUCCAUUCCUUCUUCCCGUGGCCGCAUUCGUCCCUAGCUAGUUCGCUGCCGUUGCCGUGCCUCUGCUUCCGCCGGCGUGCUCGAAGUCGUGCCGUUGCUCUGCGUCGAGCUCAGAUGAGCUCGGGAUCGUGCUCAUCACAUCCGUGCGGGCCCGUUGCACCCCUCCCUCGCGCUCUGUCGAGCCCUGUAGCGCUCAGUUCCAGCCACAGCAGCAUCUCGCACCACCGCCAUUCGACGCGACGUCGUCCGGCCGUUCGAACGCACCCUGCCCGCGCCCUCACGCGCAUGUGCCCGGGCUUGUCCGCGGCCCGGCCCUGCCGCCACGACCGCGCCCUGCUGCUAUUGCCGCUUGCCACUGCUGCUUGCGCCUCCGCCGCUUGCUUGUACUGCCGCUGCUACUCUGCAUACUGCUGCUGUGGCCUGAUGCUGCCACUGCCGCUUGCCGUCGCCCACCGCGGAGCCACUGCCGCAGCCGCCCCGCGCUCGCGCACCGCGUGCCCGCACUGCCGCGCUCGGCGCUGCUCCCCCUCGCCUGCCGUUGCGGCUGCCCCGCCUACGCACGCCUGCAGCGCCCGAGCCAUGCCACUGCCCAACGCUGCUCUAUUGUACUACUACUAUCUACUGUAGCUGCUACUAGUUAGCUUUUGGUUUUCUACGUUGGCUAAGCCCCUAAACAGCGAAAAUUCGUUGGCGUGCACGAGCUCGCCUGCUCACGUUAUCUGUAGGCGUCGGUCCUCGUCGGGAUAUGGAACACACAUCGUAUUCCAGCUCGUAAACGACAGCUCAUUUAAUGGUUGACGCUAACGGGAAGAAACAUCGUUUGUAUGGUGCCGGUGACGGACGUUGAGGUGCUAGCGACUCAACGUGUAUCCCUGCCAGACUGAAUUCCGCUCAGGAUCGGCCUACCUACUCCAUUUAACUCCUCAUCUGUCAUCGGCGGCGGCUCAGUCUAUAACAAUCCAUCCCCAAAUCGAAGAAAGAAAUCCUAGUUGCACACUGUUCCUCAAUAGAUCCCCAAGUCGGAGCAAGGAAUAGCAGUCGCAGAAAAGUUAGCAAAUCUGAAUCAAGGUGCUGAUCCGGCGGCACUUCCAAUCGUGCCUUGUCUGGACUGUGGCAGGAACGUAGUCGCCUACCUUGAUCGUGGCAGGCCGAACGCCGGCGAGUGAUUCUACAAGUGCCGCAAUCAAAAUCCGUCAGGUGGUGGAUACGAUUUCUACAGGUGGCAGCAAACGUACGCCGACCACCUCACGUCCCUUGGUCCAGCCGCACCCCCAUUAGCGCAAAUCGAGCCAGGAUAGGAGCAAGGCGGCCAAGCUUUGGGAGUUCAAGAUUCAGGUGCCGCACGCACCACAGGGUAGCAGAACGGCAUGCCGGACGGCACCCAGUUCGUUUCUUCAGUCAGCGCCGCUGCAGGAUACAUGCUCGCCGCGCUUCCAGCUGCUGGGCGCCAGGGAGCCAUUGCCGUUGACGGUGCAUCCAUUAAUCUGGUGGUCUCCGUGGCCAACCUCGUCAUUGGCGUGGCAUUCCUUUUGUUGGUUGUGGCCGACAUGGUCAUGAACAUGCUUGGUUAGGCGUCAGCUGCCAAUAAGGGAGCACGACGUACCAUUGUACUCGCAAAUCAAGUAUUAUGACAUUUGUAUCAUAGGUUAGCAGCCAAGUAUGUAAUGGUGUAGGCGCAGCGGGUGUUGCUGAUGGCGUACUUUUGUAAUGAUCGAGUUUAAGCCGUGUGAUGUACUCUCGUUUGUGCAACUAAUAUUAAUGAAAGUCUGUUUUUAACUAA